GACGAACGCUGGCGGCGUGCCUAAUACAUGCAAGUUGAGCGCUGAAGGUUGGUACUUGUACCAACUGGAUGAGCAGCGAACGGGUGAGUAACGCGUGGGGAAUCUGCCUUUGAGCGGGGGACAACAUUUGGAAACGAAUGCUAAUACCGCAUAAAAACUUUAAACACAAGUUUUAAGUUUGAAAGAUGCAAUUGCAUCACUCAAAGAUGAUCCCGCGUUGUAUUAGCUAGUUGGUGAGGUAAAGGCUCACCAAGGCGAUGAUACAUAGCCGACCUGGGAGGGUGAUCGGCCACGUUGGGACUGAGACACGGCCCAAACUCCUACGGGAGGCAGCAGUAGGGAAUCUUCGGCAAUGGACGAAAGUCUGACCGAGCAACGCCGCGUGAGUGAAGAAGGUUUUCGGAUCGUAAAACUCUGUUGGUAGAGAAGAACGUUGGUGAGAGUGGAAAGCUCAUCAAGUGACGGUAACUACCCAGAAAGGGACGGCUAACUACGUG
rnacentral:rRNA from 1 species